ACUUUGUCUUCUCGUUAAUAGCUCAAUAGAGUAAAGACUUGGCACUACAUCUGAAAUGAAAAAAAAAUGUCUUGCUAUUCUGUUCCAUAGCACUGCGUUUUGCAGGUUUCUUUUCUUUUAGAAGAAACGUCAGCCUCCCUUCUCCAACAUCCAGCACAGGGCACUGAUGAGCAGCAACACAGAAUCCUUCAGCAUCUUACCGAGGCAGAGAAGUGGUAUGCUGAGAACAUUUCUGUGUUCAGAGGGCACAUCUCACUCCCUCAUUACUGUCAAUGGACAAAGACAACAUUGAGGAGGCCCUUCCAAAAUUUGAUUUGCUAUGUGAAUUUCUAGAAGAAGAGGAGAGGGAAUAUGUCCUUAGACCCUUCAUCAUCCUUUAUUUCACAUACGGAAGACGUGCAUCUGUUUUUAGAUAACGUGAGAGGAAAAAGGAAAAUGUCUGUUUUGGCAGAAAAUGUAACAAACAUACAUGUCCCUCAUUGCUCAGUUACAACCUACAACUCUUGUUCUAUAUUUUAUAUAUUCUUUAACUUUUUGUAAUAAAUGUUGCAAACCAA